UUUUCAGUUCAUGUCUUAUUACGAGUAUAUAGCUGGUAUAUACCGUUUGGUUGACCGUUAUGUCCAUCUCAAUCCGAAUGUAUGGAUUUAUAGUUAUAAUUACCGUUCUAUACAAGAUCCUACUCCUAAAUAUUGGGGCACUUAUCAUGCUAUUGAACUCCAAUAUCAAUUUGGUAUGCCGUUUAUUAGCAAAUUUAGCCAACCGUGGAAAUGGAACAGCAUUUGGCCAACCGCUAUCAAAUGGACUGUAGCUGAUAAACUUCAUUCUCGGAAUAUGAUGGAACUGUGGUCUAAUUUUGCUAAAUUGUUAAACCCAAAUAAAGAGAAAUAUCAGCACCCCGUAUGGACAAAUUACCAAGAAUAUAAUAAAGUUUAUAUUGAUAUUGAUAAAAGUAACAGCA